CAGGGGAAAAGUUUUUCUCUGGGGUUAGUUGGUUCUGACAUUCAAUAUAUCAUUUGGAAAUACAUCAUCUGAGUGUCUCUGUUGUUAAACAACCUGUCUUUAGCUGAAAAACUAGUUUCAUGGAGAAACCUAGAGAAUGAACACAGAAAAGCAAAAUAGAAAAAUCUUGGAAAAUAAGAGGCAGUAUUGCUCUUCCUUUCAUUCCUCUUGUCUGCCUCUGGAAAUAAGUUAGAUUAAGUAAGCUUAAAAGACAAGAGAGGAGAAAGAAAAUACAUCCAAAAUUCAUACUUACAUUAACGGAACAAUACUCUGAAAAGGAAACCGUGCCAGAAGUUGCAUCUGUGCCUUUUGCAAGAUGGUGAUAAGAAAGCAAAAGAAAUCUCUCCAUUUUCAAGAUAGCUUCAAAAAGAAAGCAACCAGACAUGGAACCACCUCCCACACUUCAUCGCCAGUGGCUCUUGCAUGUGAUGUCCUUGGGUGCCCAAAAGAUUAGCCAGUCUCAUCCACCUGGCCCAUGUCACGGGGAUCAAAGACAUUUCUCCAUCUACAAACUUAAACUCCUGCUCUCUGAAAGUGAAGAGGACAAAUUGAAAGUUAUAGUCUGAAAAGACUAGUAGGAACAUCUGACUCUUGAGGGGGCAGCAGUCCUCUCAUGUGACAAUGCAUUACGAGCAACAAAAAAGGUAUCCUUUAAUAUUACU
rnacentral:lncRNA from 12 species